rnacentral:rRNA from 1 species
UAGGGAAUCUUCGGCAAUGGACGGAAGUCUGACCGAGCAACGCCGCGUGAGUGAAGAAGGUUUUCGGAUCGUAAAGCUCUGUUGUAAGAGAAGAACGAGUGUGAGAGUGGAAAGUUCACACUGUGACGGUAUCUUACCAGAAAGGGACGGCUAACUACGUGCCAGCAGCCGCGGUAAUACGUAGGUCCCGAGCGUUGUCCGGAUUUAUUGGGCGUAAAGCGAGCGCAGGCGGUUAGAUAAGUCUGAAAUUAAAGGCUGUGGCUUAACCAUAGUACGCUUUGGAAACUGUUUAACUUGAGUGCAAGAGGGGAGAGUGGAAUUCCAUGUGUAGCGGUGAAAUGCGUAGAUAUAUGGAGGAACACCGGUGGCGAAAGCGACUCUCUGGCUUGUAACUGACGCUGAGGCUCGAAAGCGUGGGGAGCAAACAGGAUUAGAUACCCUGGUAGUCCACGCCGUAAACGAUGAGUGCUAGGUGUUAGACCCUUUCCGGGGUUUAGUGCCGUAGCUAACGCAUUAAGCACUCCGCCUGGGGAGUACGACCGCAAGGUUG